UUUGAAGUGUGGACGCCAGUCUGCAUGGAGCCGACCUUGAAAUACCACCCUUUAAUGUUUGAUGUUCUAACGUGGACCCGUGAUCCGGGUUGCGGACAGUGUCUGGUGGGUAGUUUGACUGGGGCGGUCUCCUCCUAAAGAGUAACGGAGGAGCACGAAGGUUGGCUAAUCCUGGUCGGACAUCAGGAGGUUAGUGCAAUGGCAUAAGCCAGCUUGACUGCGAGCGUGACGGCGCGAGCAGGUGCGAAAGCAGGUCAUAGUGAUCCGGUGGUUCUGAAUGGAAGGGCCAUCGCUCAACGGAUAAAAGGUACUCCGGGGAUAACAGGCUGAUACCGCCCAAGAGUUCAUAUCGACGGCGGUGUUUGGCACCUCGAUGUCGGCUCAUCACAUCCUGGGGCUGAAGUAGGUCCCAAGGGUAUGGCUGUUCGCCAUUUAAAGUGGUACGCGAGCUGGGUUUAGAACGUCGUGAGACAGUUCGGUCCCUAUCUGCCGUGGGCGCUGGAGAACUGAGGGGGGCUGCUCCUAGUACGAGAGGACCGGAGUGGACGCAUCACUGGUGUUCGGGUUGUCAUGCCAAUGGCACU
rnacentral:rRNA from 1 species